GGUGAACGCUGGCGGCGUGCUUAAGACAUGCAAGUCGAACGAACUCUUCGGAGUUAGUGGCGGACGGGUGAGUAACACGUGGGAACGUGCCUUUAGGUUCGGAAUAGCUCAGGGAAACUUGUGCUAAUACCGAAUGUGCCCUUCGGGGGAAAGAUUUAUCGCCUUUAGAGCGGCCCGCGUCUGAUUAGCUUGUUGGUGGGGUAAUGGCCCACCAAGGCGACGAUCAGUAGCUGGUCUGAGAGGAUGACCAGCCACAUUGGGACUGAGACACGGCCCAAACUCCUACGGGAGGCAGCAGUGGGGAAUCUUGCGCAAUGGGCGAAAGCCUGACGCAGCCAUGCCGCGUGGAUGAUGAAGGUCUUAGGAUUGUAAAAUCCUUUCACCGGUGAAGAUAAUGACUGUAGCCGGAGAAGAAGCCCCGGCUAACUUCGUGCCAGCAGCCGCCGUAAUAC
rnacentral:rRNA from 1 species